UUUUACAAACUAAAUGUUUUCAUUCUGAAGUCUAGAAAUUACAUCUGCAAUUUUAUAAAGUCAUGUUAAAUUUCAUAAAAGUUUACAGAAACGUCUGAAAACAUAUUUUCAUCUCCAUCUUGAAGUUUUUGUUUUUAGUUUCCAGGUUUUGCAGGAUUUUCCAGGUUCAGAGGAAACUUUGAACCUUUUCCCAGGAAAAAAACAGAAAUAAAGAAACAACAAACUGUUGAGGCUUUUUCCACUUUGCACUUAAAAAACUUUUUAACGUUUUGUGAUUAGUGGGCGGGGCCUCGCUCCUCAGCAGACGCUCUGAUUGGUCCGUUUUCCCUCCCCUCUCUGUUGAUGUUGGUGGCUGACUCCAACCAUUUCUGCAGGUUACAUAAACACACACACACACACACUUAAACUUUUCAGCUGCGUCUUUGUUUGUAGUUUUGGUUUGGCGUUGCCGUGGAGACGCAGAGGAGAAACCAGAACCAGAUGAAGGAGCAGAAAGUGGAGCCGGGCGGCGCUACAUCUGCUGCAGCUGCAGGUUUUUUUUUCUGAUCGGACUCACAGAGACUUGGAAACAAACUCGGUUACCUCGACGCUUCACGUCCUGGUUUCAGAAAUAAAGUUUGGGUCAUUAAUCAGACUGGAAUAAAUGAACGUUUGGUUCAGAACCCGGUUCGUCCCAAACCGGCCGGCCGGCUGCUGGACGUUUUCUGGAGGGAGGGAAUCGUCUCAGCUCAGAGGCGUUCCCAUGACGACAGAACCAGACGCAGACCUCUCUGCUGCCACCUGCUGGCCGGGCGAGCCACUGAACCCAUGAGGAGGAGGAGGAGGAGGAUGAUGAUGAUGAUGAUGAGGAUGAUGAUGAUGAUGAUGAUGAUGAAGUCCUCAGGGUGCACUUACUUUCCUAGAAACUUUAAACACAGAAACAGGUAAAAACUUUCAGAAGAGUUCACACCCAACAACGACGUUUCAACCAAAACAUUUAGUGAAUGGAAAUCUGAAAAGUGUGGUGUGCAUGUUUAUUCAGCCCCCCUUUUAAAUUGCCCCAAAUUAAAAAAAGAUUUGGAGGUCUGGAUGAUUCUGGAGUUCUGCCUGAAUAAAAACCAUAAACUCA